UAUAUUCAGUAAGUUUCAUCUAUUCCCAACACAUAAUUCUUACAUUUUAUCUUCUUUUUAUGAGUAUAAAUUGUCAUAUUGUUGAAAUUUUCUACAAGUUGAGUUACUAGAGAAUCCUUACACUGAACAUUUUUGUUGAAAACUUGACUAGGGGGCAACUUUUGACAACAAUUACAAGCUUUAAAGCUUCACAUUUUCUAUUCGAAGUUCAUUUCCCUUGUGGUCCCUCCCAUAGUCCUAUGUAAGCAUAAAUGUUUUUCUCUCUCUUAAUUUAGAUUUUCACACAAUUGUUUAACUGAAUUAGCAAGAUGUUUUAUUUGGUGUAUUAUUGUAGGAUUCUUUUUGUGACAGGUUGUCUAACUUCCUAUUCACUAUGUUUCUUACUAUGUUCAAGUGACAUGCCAAUUGGAUAUCUGGAAUUUAUAUGUUGUAAUGAAUGAGAAGCUACCAAGAGGGUGCACAACUUCAAGCCUCUUAGAGAGCUAAUAAUUGAUGGUUGCAUGGCCCGAGACACGCCUCUUUUCUAGGGAUAGAUUUUUCAUCUAAUGUAAGAAGGUAGAUAAUUCAAAAUUGUGUAUAGAGGCUCUACGGUUGUUACUAAUUGGAAUGAUUCACAAUUCAAGCAAUAACAAGUCUCUAGAAUUAUUUUAGAUUUCUAAAUGUCCUCUCAUGUAUUUCCAAGAGGCCAGUUUCCUACAAUAUUCCUAAUGAAGGUGGAGAUCCUAAGUUACCAAAAUUGGGGUGUAAAGUGGAUGAAUGUUGUCAAAUGCAAAAGAAGAAUACCACUUCUCUUGAAUAACGAUUAAGGGUUUUCAAAAGCAUUUUCUCCAAUAUCAGUGGAUGAAGACAAGCUGCCACAGAAACAACUAGCAGUUUUGAUUGAGUUGGUGUCCAAGUCUCCCAAAGAACUCACAAUUAAGUUGGUGCUCAAGACAGUUUACUUCCCCAAGAUAGGUUUGUUAUUGCAUAGUUUAAAAUUAUAGCACUUUGAUUCCUUACUGAUUGGAAUGCAUGAUAGCACAACAUGUAUCUGGAAUUCUUGUAUUUUUCUAAUUGUGUUAUGUUUGCUGAAUAAGCUAGCUUCCUCUAGUGCUCUAAAAUGUGGAGAUUACAAGUUGCUAAAAUUUGUGCGUCUAUAUAUAUUAGAUGAAGAUUGGGUGAUUCACAAGAACAACUGCACAUCCCUUGAAUCAUGUAUGUUGCUCAGUCUCCACAUCAUGGAGACAUCUGCUAAGCUCCAUUUGUAGUUGGCAAGUGAAACUAUAUAUGAGAGACAUAACUCCUAAAUCCAAUGAUGAGAGAUGACCCAAAGAUAGCCCACAUCUCCUAUGUGAAAACAGAUGGCGAGAUUCAUCUUUGAUCUAUAAUGGCUCACAACAAUAGCAGAAGCAAGGAGAGUUCACCAUAUCUUAGUUUCAUACCAUUGAAAUUUCCUUCAAGUGGAGCUAUUUGGUGAAUUUUGCAGUUACCUUUAUUGUUAAAAAAAACUUCACUAUAGAGUAGUAUUUGACAGUUGUUACAAGCUUUAUGACUUUACAUUUACUAUUCAGUGUUUGUUCCUCUUGUUGAUCCAUUCCACAGUCCCACGUAAGCAUCAAUAUUUGUAUCUCUCCCAAUUCAAUUUUUAAUGCAACUUUAUCCUUUAACUGGAUGAGUUCAUUUAUGUUAAUAAGAUUUUCUUUUUGGUGUAUUCCUACAAGAUUCUUUCUACGAUGGGUUGUUUAACUUCACUUUUAGCAUAGCUUCUAGUUCAUUAGGUGUAGUGAAAUUGGCAAUUGGAUAUCUACAAAUCAUAUGGUGCAAUAUAUAAGAAACCACUAAGAGGGUGUAGAACCCUGAGUUUGUUAAGAGAGAUGGUUGCAUGCCCAAGAAACAUUGAUCUCUUUCCUAUGGACAAAUUUGUAUAUAUAUCUUUGGAGUUGUUAUUGAUUGGAAUGAUUCAAAAGUAGCAACAUGCCACUGUGAUUCUUUUAGAUUUCUAAAUGCCCAAUUUCCACAUUUUUCCAAGAAGGCAACUUUCUGCAAUCAUAAUGAAGGUGGAGAUUCUGAGUUGCCCAAAUUUGGAGUUCAGACUAAAUGCAUGUUGUCAAAUGCAAAUGUAGAACAUCACUUCUCUUGAAUACUGGUAUGUUGCUUGUCUCUUAUUUCUCGCAUAAUUGUUGAGAGAUGCCUUACUUGAUGCUUAAACAUCUUGGUAUUAAUGAUCAUGGAAAACAGAUUUCGGGUGGUAGAGAAGGGGAUAAUGCACCACAACAUAUUUCUUGUACAUCUUGCAAGGAUGCUCUACCAUAAUGAUCAAAAUAAACAUAGCCAAAACUAAGCAAUGAGACGAGGAGGAAGGAGAAGGGAAGGAGAGGAAGCAACCCAAUGCAAAAAUGCAUCAAAUUGUUGUGUCUUGACAAGGGAAUGAAGAGAUGGAGAACACAAGAUGUUGCUUUUUGGUAAUAGGAGGAAGUCAUGAAGAUAAAUUGUUUUGCUUGACCAAGAGAGGAAGAAACGGAGAAAAAAGAAUCCAAGGUUCAUUAGAGGAUACUAGUGCGACAUUACACCCAUGUAAAUAUAAACUAACUGUCAAUGCCACAUUGAAUAAGGUUCACAUGAUAUGCCUAUGAGUGCUACACUUCUGUAAUUUCAUCAAACUGUCAUGCCACAAACUGUGUGCAUCAAUAUACCAUGCUAAUAUAGUAA